rnacentral:piRNA from 1 species
UACAAAGUUUACAAAGGGAGAUGCUGACAGA